rnacentral:rRNA from 1 species
GAGACAGUCCUCUAUGAGGGCUGUCAUCGGAAUGGGUACAAUUUAAACCCUUUAACGAGGAUCUAUUGGAGGGCAAGUCUGGUGCCAGCAGCCGCGGUAAUUCCAGCUCCAAUAGCGUAUACAAAUACUGUUGCGGUUAAAAAGCUCGUAGUUGGAUCUGCGUUCGCAGUGUCUGGUUCCCUACUCGGGAUACUAGUUCACUCGAACUACCUUGUUAGACGUCUCUUGGUGCUCUUCACUGAGUGCCUUGAGUGUCUAGCUCGUUUACUUUGAAAAAAUUAGAGUGCUUAAAGCAGGCUUUUGCCUGAAUAGUUGCGCAUGGAAUAAUGGAAUAGGACCUCGGUUCUAUUUUGUUGGUUUUCGGAGCAUGAGGUAAUGAUUAAGAGGGACAGACGGGGGCAUUCGUACUGCUACGUUAGAGGUGAAAUUCUUGGAUCGUAGCAUGACGAACAACUGCGAAAGCAUUUGCCAAGAAUGUUUUCAUUAAUC